rnacentral:rRNA from 1 species
UGGGGAAUAUUGGACAAUGGGGGCAACCCUGAUCCAGCAAUGCCGCGUGUGUGAAGAAGGUCUUCGGAUUGUAAAGCACUUUCGACGGGGACGAUGAUGACGGUACCCGUAGAAGAAGCCCCGGCUAACUUCGUGCCAGCAGCCGCGGUAAUACGAAGGGGGCUAGCGUUGCUCGGAAUGACUGGGCGUAAAGGGCGUGUAGGCGGUUUGUACAGUCAGAUGUGAAAUCCCCGGGCUUAACCUGGGAGCUGCAUUUGAGACGUGCAGACUAGAGUGUGAGAGAGGGUUGUGGAAUUCCCAGUGUAGAGGUGAAAUUCGUAGAUAUUGGGAAGAACACCGGUGGCGAAGGCGGCAACCUGGCUCAUUACUGACGCUGAGGCGCGAAAGCGUGGGGAGCAAACA